GGUAGAGUAACGCGUGAGUAACCUGCCUUACACAAGGGGAUAGCCUCUGGAAACGGGGAAUAAUACCCUAUGAAACUAUCUUAUCGCAUGAAAAGAUAGUCAAAGUGUUUUAGCGGUGCAAGAUGGACUUGCGUCUGAUUAGCUAGUUGGUGAGAUAACAGCCCACCAAGGCAACGAUCAGUAGCCGGCUUGAGAGAGUGUACGGCCACAUUGGGACUGAGACACGGCCCAG
rnacentral:rRNA from 1 species